rnacentral:lncRNA from 1 species
AUCAAGGUAACGUCACGUGCAUUAGUCACCCAUCUGGAGAAAUGAUCUCUCUAAUUUACCCCCAAUAUUAAUAUUACUGGAGUCCGGUCGCGCUACCACCACCGGCCAUCAAAGGAAGAUAUCUCUUCCACAACGUCGCGCGCAUCAACUAGUCAUCUCCAGCAUCAACUACGUCGCGUGCAUUAGUCACCUGCGCAUGCAAUCAUGAACUCGAUGAGUCACGCAACAAGGAUACGCCUCCUUCACCCUGCACACAAUGAAUUACCUGCGCAUGCAAUCAUGAACUCGAUUAGUCACCUGCGCAUGCAAUCAUGAACUCGCGCGCAUCAACUAGUCAUCUCCUAUAUGUGACACAAGUUAGCUUCAAACAAGGUGUUUAAGCUACUAGCGUGCUAGGGAAGCGAGGCAAUAAUAAGCUUCUAGGAGCCUGUGACCUUAGGACAGUGUCCACAUACCUGCUCCAGGGCCAUAAUUCUCUGUAGAUCUUGUACUGGCACCUGUAGUCAGUAAGAUCUACAGUUAACCGUCUAGAAGUCUUAAGACAAUAUUUAAUUCGGUCUGUAAUAAUUAAGAAUCUGAGUUGUCGGAACAGUUCCCAUAUUGUUUAGUUGAUUUCUAUGAUAACUUGUUAUUAUUUGGGACACGGUAUGGGACGUGU